AUUGAGGUCCGUCACGUCCCUCAUUUCGUAUGUGGUCACAAUUGUUUAUGACAAAGUACUUUUUCUUUAUUAUACUUCCCCACUCAUCUUACUUCCAAUAUUAUAAGAUAAUACUCCCUCCGAAUUAAUUUAGAUGUCCCAUUUGCUUGGGUACGGUUAUUAAAGAUGAUGUGCGGUCCAUUAAAAAGAGUAAGUAGUAAAAGGUAAGUAGUACGGUUAUUUCCAGGUAUUUUAAGUGUCCUUUGCACUUCUUCGUUUCAUUAUCGAAACAUAUAGAAUUAGAUUGGCUUUAAAACUGUCGGUAUCAUCAAUUGAUUCUAUUAACAACGAACCACUAUAUUGCUUAUUUUAUGGGUGAUUGAUGUAGCACAUAUAAAUAAAUCUGCUUGGUGUUCUUCGGAAGAAGAACUUCGACUCUUGCAAUUACAUAGAUGAUUGUAGGCUUGUAGCAACCGAAAACAGGUAAAAGAAUCUGAUUAAUUAAUUGGUGAGAGCAUGGAGCAUAACUCAGACAAUAAAGCCCCAGAAAUCAAAGUUCGAAUGGCAGAUAAUGGAGUCACGAUUAGCAUUACUUUUAAGAUGAAAAAGGGUAUUUUAAGUACAAUUAUUAAUGAGGUUGAACAACGUCCUCUCCUUAUUACCAACAUUAAUUCUAUGCCAUUCACCGAUCAACUUUCAUUAUUCAGUAUUGUGGCUAAGAAAGAACCGGAUUUCGCAUCAACGCAACAAGAGUUAGUGGAUCAACUAAAUUCACUAUUCAUGUAGUGAAUUAAGGCAAAUUAGUCUUCAUUAAUUAGGAUUAUGAUGCGCAAGGGUUAUUUUCAACUUUACAUUACUUGUACGAUUGAAAAUUAAUAAUAGUAAAGCCAAGGAGAUGUGUUUUGUUGUUUUAAAUUAUAUAAAAUACAUUUUUAUAUGUGUAAGUCUUAUAUAGACUUAAGUCUACUUUAAAAUAACUAUGUACGGAUGUAUUUUUUUUAAUAUUUCUUCAUUUUUUAUUUAAUUUCACUUUUUAAAUAGAAAUGUGGAUAGUACUAUUUUAAUACUAAUUAAGUGCCUA